AAGGACAGGCUUGCAACGGCCUCAAACCUGCAACCUGUUGCUCCCCCCGAGCGCAGCGCCCCAGCUCCCAGCCCCUGCCGCUGCCAUUCCCUGCGUGCCCAAGCCCCGGCUCCUGGGGGUCUGCGCCCCCUUCCAGAACCCUCGGCACUGCCGGAGGCCCGCCCCUGCUGUCCCUCCCGGGUGGCAGCUUGGAGGUCUGGGGAUCCCCAAGGCGAAAUCUCCUAGCAAGGGGGCGGAUACCUACUUGGACUCCUGAGUGACCCCCUGUCCUCAGCCUCUGCGGCAGGGCCCCUGCAGCCUCGGGAAGGCGGAAAACCUCCAGGCACCAGCGGACGCGGCCGCAAGACCGGAAAAUUCAGGCACCAGAGAAACUUCCAGACUUGCUGACGUGGAGAGAGCCACGUGCCCUUUCUGAGCAUUUACUGGUAAAUACUGGACGAAUGGAGGACAGGACGGGCAGGAAGGAGAGGCGAGGCCAUGCGCCCUGGCCAGGAAGGGACAGCGUCACAUGGAAGCUUCUCAGAGCUUGGUCAAGCACUUCCAGAAAGACAGGACUAUCAAGGUGUAAAACAAGCAGGAAAAACCCCUCGUCCUCCUCCACAGAAGCCGCCUGGCGAUUUAUCACACGGACCCACUUCUCUGUCCUGGCCUUUUCUGGGACCCCUGUUCCCUGCUGAAACGUGGCACGUUAGUGUCGGGGUGUGCCGGCUGCGGGGGCCUCAGCUCACAGCUGCUGCCCUGUCUUCCAGGGAAUUGGGACAAAAUUCCAUAAGCCUCCACGUGAGGGGCGAACUGUUUUGUUCUGUUUUUUUAUUCCUCCCUUCCCCAUGGCUCCCUCCACCAUCUGCUCGUCUUCUUUAG
rnacentral:lncRNA from 1 species